GCCUGGAUGGUGCAGUUGGUAGCACAACUGGUUUAGCUACAUGGUCUUGUUGCGUCCUAUCAGCUGCCGUCAGUUCGAUCCUGACUCCAGGCU